GCCAGUGUGGCGCAGUGGUUAGCAUGUCGGACUAAGACCUGGGAAACAAGGGUUCAAACCCCCUAUUUGGCC